GAAUCAAAACCUCUUUUGAUGGGAAACAAAAACUAAAAUUUUAACUUAUUUUGUAUUCGGGGAAGGAAGAAAAACAGGCCAUCACAGUAUUUAUUACUUAUUUAAUAGUACCUCUUGGAUUGAUAGUCAUUAGCAUGCAGUCCCAUCAGUAAAAAUAGAUCUUUAACAGAGUUGUCUGGGUCGUAAGGAAAAUGUAUUUCACAACUCAAUGUAUUUUCUACAGAAGUUAUUAUUAAUAUUGCUAUUAACGUAUCAUUAUAUUCUUGUUUUAAUCAGAAUAACUUUAUAUUUGUUUGUAUAAUAUUAUACUAGUAUAUGUAAUCAGUUUUUAUUCACCAAGAGUCUCUGUGAUAUUUAAUGGAUAGUCUCACCAAAAACAGUGGCUAUGUUUCAUUUAACAGAAUUUCAUAUUGAUUAUCAGUUCAUCUCUUAAAUACAUUGUAGUAUUUUUAAAAAUCACAUACAUAAAAAAUGGGUGCAGAUGGCACACCCAAAAACCAAAAACAGAAGCAUUAUUCCUGUGAAUGAAAUGUAAAUAAUGGUACGUGGAUGAGAAAAUGUGCAUCGGCAGCAUCGGAAACAGUAGAGUAAGAAAAGUUUGAUAUAAGUGUGUUUAGAUUUGUUUAUGGUGUUCUGAUGACACAGUAUACUGAAAAAUAUUUUAUUGACAUGAGUGAUGAAUUCUUAAUUCUCAAUUCACUGAGACAUACCAUAGUCACUAAGUAACAAUUCAAAGGGAGUUUUUGCACUUAUUAUGCCCCCCUUGAAGAAGAGGGGGUAUAUUGUUUUGCACAUGUCGGUCAGUCCGUCUAUAGGUCCGUUCAUUAAAUGGUUUCCGGAUGAUAACUCAAGAACGCUUAGGCCUAGGAUCAUAAAACUUCAUAGGAACAUUGAUCAUGACUGGCAGAUGACCCCUAUUGAUUUUCAGGUCACUAGGUCAAAGGUCAAGGUCACAGUGACUCGUAACAGUAAAAUGGUUUCCGGAUGAUAUCUCAAGAACGCUUAGGCCUAGGAUCAUGAAACUUCAUAGGAACAUUGAUCAUGACUGGCAGAUGACUCCUAUUGAUUUUCAGGUGGUCACUAGGUCAAAGGUCAAGGUCACAGUGACUCGAAACAGUAAAAUGGUUUCCGUAUGAUAACUCAAGAACGCUUAGGCCUAGGAUCAUGAAACUUCAUUGGAACAUUGAUCAUGACUGGCAGAUGACCCCUAUUGAUUUUCAGGUCACUAGGUCAAAGGUCAAGGUCACAGUGACUCGAAACAGUAAAAUGGUUUCCGGAUGAUAACUCAAGAACGCUUAGGCCUAGGAUCAUGAAACUUCAUAGGUACAUUAAUCAUGACUGGCAGAUGACCCCUAUUGAUUUUCAGGUCACUAGGUCAAAGGUCAAGGUCACAGUGACUCGAAACGGAUAAAUGGUUUUCAGAUAAUAACUCAAGAAUGCUUAGACCUAGGAUCAUGAAACUUCAUUCACACAAUGGCUGCCACUACAACUGACAGCCCAUUUGGGGGGCAUGCAUGUUUUACAAACAGCCCUUGUUUGUUUUGAUUUGCUAUUAGUUUUUGCUUUGUGUUUAUUCUUUUUUCAACUUUAUGCAAAAGGCAUUGACUGACAUGCUGCAAUUUCUGUGUAGGUUGGUAAAAUACCAACUAGGCUGAAAUGUACUUACAUUGUAAGAACCUUCUGAUAUUCUUUAUGAUCAUAGCACUGAAGUAAUUGUCCCAAAUUUUAAUAAAAAAUUAAAUACAUGCUAAAAUAUGUGAAAGAUCCUUUUAAUAAAAGAUAACAGAAG